GAUGAACGCUGGCGGCGUGCCUAAUACAUGCAAGUCGAGCGACGCGGGGACGGGGGAGUAACACGUGGAUAACCUCCUAUAAGACUGGGAUAAAUUCGGGAAACCGGAGCUAAAACCGCUACUUUUCCAUGGUUCCGCGCUGAAUUAGCUGGUGGGUAAGGUAACGGGUUACCAAGGCAACGAUGCAUAGCCGACCUGAGAGGGUGAUCGGCCACACUGGAACUGAGACACGGUCCAGACUCCUACGGGAGGCAGCAGUAGGGAAUAUUCCGCAAUGGGCGAAAGCCUGACGGAGCAAUGCCGCGUGAGUGAUGAAGGCCUUCGGAUCGUAAAACUCUGUUAGUGGGGAAGCGGUACCCAAUCAGAAAGCCACGGCUAACUCCGUGCCAGCAGCCGCGGUAAUUC
rnacentral:rRNA from 1 species